rnacentral:rRNA from 1 species
GACGAACUCUGGCGGCAUGCUUAACACAUGCAAGUCGAACGAAGAGCGACGGAAGCUUGCUUCUAUCAAUCUUAGUGGCGAACGGGUGAGUAACGCGUAAUCAACCUGCCCUUCAGAGGGGGACAACAGUUGGAAACGACUGCUAAUACCGCAUACGAUCUAAUCUCGGCAUCGAGGAUGGAUGAAAGGUGGCCUCUACAUGUAAGCUAUCACUGAAGGAGGGGAUUGCGUCUGAUUAGCUAGUUGGAGGGGUAACGGCCCACCAAGGCGAUGAUCAGUAGCCGGUCUGAGAGGAUGAACGGCCACAUUGGGACUGAGACACGGCCCAGACUCCUACGGGAGGCAGCAGUGGGGAAUCUUCCGCAAUGGACGAAAGUCUGACGGAGCAACGCCGCGUGAGUGAUGACGGCCUUCGGGUUGUAAAGCUCUGUUAAUCGGGACGAAAGGCCUUCUUGCGAAUAGUGAGAAGGAUUGACGGUACCGGAAUAGAAAGCCACGGCUAACUACGUG